rnacentral:lncRNA from 1 species
CGUGGGCUGUCCUCUGGAGAGGCUGGUCCCACAGGAGACCACGGAGGAGCUGCCCCUCCUGCAAGGGGUCGGGGGAUGAACAAACUCAGAGAUCUCCCGGAGCGGGAGCCAAGAGCACGGAUUUCCUGCAGGACAGGAGAGGAUGACGAGGGCGGGAGGCUUGGCUACAUAGCUGGCGGCGACCUCAGCUGGGACAAAGCCGCCACCUCGCUUGAUCCUAACAGCCUUCCCCAGAGGAGAAGCCCAGGAUGUGGGCUUAGGGUUGAACCACAGGCCAGAGACAUUUUUUUUUUAAUUUAAAUUGAAUAUUGUUGAUUUUCUUUUUUGGCCACCCCAAAGCAUAAGGACAGAGUUCCUGGGUCCAGGGAUCAGAUCCAAGCUGCAGUUCCCAAUUGCGCCCUAAGUCACAGCUGCGGCAAGCCUGGAUCCUUAACUCUCUGUGCAGAGCCGGGGAUUGAACCUGCAUCUCAGCGCUCCCAAGAGGCUGCUGAUCCCAUUAUGCCACAGUGGGAACUCCAGGACGGAGACUCUCAGGUGGCCAUGGGCGAUGGACUGGAAAUUGGAAAUGGGUCCUUCUCUGCAGAUACUCAUUGGCCCAAGGGAUUUGAAGCACCCAGAAAAGAAGCCUCUCCUCAAUCCUGGGACAAAGAGUGGAAUCCGCGAGGCAGCAGCUCUCAGCGAGGGGAGAGGGCAGACCAGGCAGCCAGGAGCUGGGGGCUCCAGGACACACAAAGACCACAGCCCCUGGAUCCCCUGCCCUGCCCCACUGGGCAUAAAAGCAGGGGUGACAGGAGCCAGCCCUGCAGGGCAGAGGUUCACUAGCCAGGAAAGAGGACGUGGGUGCCCCAGCAUCCUGCCUGGAGAAGUAAGGACUUCUGGGGGUGGGAGGUCUGGUGACCCCCUGGGGCAGGCUUUGCUAUGGCUCUGCAGCUCCCCUUCUCUCCCCAUCUGUGCACACCAGGUGGAAGCCCCAGAUACGCAGCACAAGGGAAAAGAUGCUGUGGCUUUUUUCUAAAAAUCACAACUACCUCCCCCCACCCCCUUCGCUCUGUGCUCUCCAGUCCCUGUCCUGACACCCACGUGGCCUGUGGGACAGGGAAGGCACCAUUCUACCCCUCUGGGCUCUCUGGCGGUGAGAAGGGGCCACUGGAACAUCCCAAAACUUAAACCACGCUGUGGGCUUCAACCCACGGUGGAACCCAGCCUCAUGCUUCCAUUCGUGUGAAGUGUAAAAACAGGCAAAACUCUGAGCAGCUGGAAUAAUGGUCACCCUGGGGAUGUAGUGACGAGGACGGGGGACCGGAGCCCUUUGGGGCACUGCUCUUAAUCGGGGGAGGGGUGGAAGGGAGCGUUCGGUUGGCCAAAAAAAACCUGUACCCUUAUAACUUGUCCACGUUCCUCAUGUAUAUUAAAUGUCAAUAAAAUGUUUGAAAAG